GGAUGAAGAACGCAGCGAACUGCGAUAGGUAAUGUGAAUUGCAGAAUUUUGUGAAUCAUCGAAUCUUUGAACGCAAAUGGCACUCACCGGUAAUCCGGGAGUAUGCUUGUUUGAGGGUCAGCAAAAACAAAUCACGGAUUUUAUUCUGUGGAAUUGGGCGUUUCGGGGGAUUUCAAACCUUCAAUCCGUUCGAUCGCCUAAAAAUGUUUCUUGGUUCGUUCGAUGUGAACUGAUCUAAGGAUCGCUGACGAUGAACCGUAACUGUGUUACGCAUUAUGAUCGUCCGUUAUAACAAUAAUGGAUGAUUCAUAUGCCAUUCCAUUAAUGACCUCAAAUCAAGUAAGAUUACCCGCUGAACUUAAGCAUAUCAAUAAGCGGAGGA
rnacentral:misc_RNA from 1 species